UGCAGUUAGUAUAAAAACUACAUCGACCCAUUUUUUGUACAAUGUAUAUGCGGGUAUGAGAAAAACUUUUCUCCGGUCAGAGUGCCAUCAAUAUUGGUGGCAACUUCAUGUGGCAACAAAGUGUCAACUAUCUCAUCACAUGUAAAAAAAUUUGAUUUGCAUGUUAUCUAAUUUAGAGGAUGCUCAAAGGAGGAACUUCAUCAAUAUUAUCAAAGGGAAGAUUGAGAUUCAGACGUACACAGAGACUAAAAAAAAAAAAAAAAAAAAAAAAACCCAAGGUAUAGAAUCUUUGAAUGCUAAUGUUCUGUUAUAAACUUAUAACUACAAGUGAAAAAAUAUUUUGUAUGUUUUGUGACGACAAUUAUACCAAAAAGUCCUUACAGAAAAAUGUAGAAGCUUGAUGAUCUCAGGUUUGACGUUGGCCAACUUGCUGAAUCUAAAACAUUUGAUGAAGGAUUAUGUGUUGCUUGGUUUAGAUGAAAGGAAAAAUAAAGGAGUGAAUUUUACUAAAAGAAUGGUUUUGUUCAAAAUAUUAUCAUGUGUGAAUAUGAACAUUGCCACCUCAUGAGAAACAAACAUCUCCAAAGGACCUGUGACAUCUUAUGGGAAAGACAGAGAACAACUUGCAAUGGCCUAAGGAUAUGGUGAAACUACAAAAAAAAAGAAAAAAACAAAAAAAAAAAGUGAUUUAUCUUUAUUUCUUCUUUAGAUUGAUGCAUUUAUCCACUUAAAAACUUAGUUCAUAUUAGUUUUAUUAAUAAAAAAACAUAUUGCAAAGGUAUAAUUUGGUACAGUCUUCAAAAUAAAAUGUAAGAUAAGAAUCAAGUAUACAAUGAUGCAGCAGAUAGAAAUCAAAAAAAUAAGAUGUUGUAAAAAAUAUUAUUAGUAACUGCAACAUGUUUAUAACGCUAUUAAUAACUAAAAUUUUAAAGUAUUUUAAUUUUUUUUAACCAAAGUUGUAAUAAACUGACUGUACACCACCCUUCACCGUAGGAAAUUGUUGGAGAAUGUGGCAAGCACUCAUCAAAACCCGACACAUGUAGACGUUCCCAUUUCCAAAGUACUCAACGGGUUGCUAAGUGAAUGUGGAUUCUUGAAACAAAUUGGUAUGUCUAUUUGAAAAACUAAAUCACAAAUGUGUAUUCUUAUUCAUUUGUUUAUUUAUUUGUAGAUUGUAUCAUUCUACUUUCCUUUUUUCAUGAUUAUAGCAUUUAUGUAACCUUUACAUGGUUAACUUUGGGGUGCCAAAUCUACUUAAUUAGGUAUCUCACUACAAGAAAAAUCCUAAAUAGCUACGGAAAGUUGCUACGAAAUCAAAAUUUGUUGCUACUUUACUAUGAAAUAUGCUACAGAACGACUUGUUGUAGCUAUUUUGCUACCAAA